GCCUAACACAUGCAAGUCGAGCGGUAACAGGAGAAAGCUUGCUUUCUUGCUGACGAGCGGCGGACGGGUGAGUAAUGUAUGGGGAUCUGCCCGAUAGAGGGGGAUAACUACUGGAAACGGUGGCUAAUACCGCAUAAUGUCUACGGACCAAAGCAGGGGCUCUUCGGACCUUGCACUAUCGGAUGAACCCAUAUGGGAUUAGCUAGUAGGUGGGGUAAAGGCUCACCUAGGCGACGAUCUCUAGCUGGUCUGAGAGGAUGAUCAGCCACACUGGGACUGAGACACGGCCCAGACUCCUACGGGAGGCAGCAGUGGGGAAUAUUGCACAAUGGGCGCAAGCCUGAUGCAGCCAUGCCGCGUGUAUGAAGAAGGCCUUAGGGUUGUAAAGUACUUCAGCGGGGAGGAAGGUGAUAAGGUUAAUACCCUAUCAAUGACGUACCCGCAGAAGAAG
rnacentral:rRNA from 1 species